UCUAUGUAUAUUUUUAUAUGUGUGUUUGUGUGUAUGUGCAUGUAUAAAAUACCACAUUAUAACUGUUUUCAGACACUUAGAAAUUGUUUUUAUAAAGAAAUGAACCCACACAGAUAUUGAAAAUUUAUCCAAUCUCCGUCAACAUAAUUAUCUUAUUUUAAUUAAAACCUAAGGCUGAGUUUACUCAAGGAAAUGAUCCAGUUCUGUGAUUCUCCCUCAGACCCAGCAGCCAGAACACCAAACUUGACACUUAUAGAAAAAUGAAAAUGUUUGCUCUAAUUUUUUUUUUUGAGACAGUGUCUCAUUCUGUUGCCCAAGCUUGAGUGCAGUGGUGCAAUCACAGCUCACUACAGCCUCAACCUCCCAGGCUCAAGUAAUUCUCCUUCCUCAGCCUCCUGAGUAGCCUGGACUACAGAUGCGCACCACUACACUCAGCUAAUUUUUUAUUUUUUGUAGAGACAGGGAUCUCGCUCUGUUGCCCAGUCUGGUGCUGAACUCCUGGACUCAAUCAAUCUUCCCGCCUCAGCCUCCCAAAAUCCUGGGAUUACAGGUGCGGACCGCCAUGUCCAGCCCUAGCUCGAACUUUCAGUGUUUACGUUUCCAGAGAGGCGUCAUAAUGGAGAGAGGAUUUUGUUUCUCGGAAAGUCUUUCACAGUUGCCCAAAGAGGAGCCAUGACGAAGUACAAGAGACAGAGAGACUUAACCACUAUCUUGGAGCCGAGAAGUACAAGACCAAGGUAUCUUCAGGAUUGGUUUCUUCUGAGGCUUCUUUGCUGGUAGAGGGCCAUCUUCUCUCCAUGUGCUCGCCUGGUGUUCCCUCUGUGUGUGUCUGUGGCCUAAUCUCCACACCCUAUAGGGACACCAGUCACUUUGGAUUACGGCCCACCCAUAUGACCUCAUUUCACAUUAAUCACUUGUUUGAAGACCCUAUCGCCAAAUACGAUCACAUUCUGAGUUAUUGGGUUUAGGGCUUCAACAUGGGACUUUGGAGGACACUACUCGGUCCAUAACGUGGAGUAAUUACUAUAAACUAUCAAAUACUAAUAUUAUAUGAAAGAAAGAGCUUAAAUGUAAAUAUGAAUGCAAACUAAUGAAUAAUAUUACAAUAAACGUAGUGCCAAUUUAAGUUUGCAGAAGAGUGAAAACCUUAAAAUGUGUUGCUUUAAGAUGUAUCUUUUUUUUAAUAAUCACACUAUAUCUCAAUUUGGAAAAAAUUGGAGUUUUACAUCCUAGAGCUUCUAAUCAGAAAAAUUUGAGUACCUACCUUUCAAGAGAAAAAAGGGAAAAGAGAAAAUAAUUUAUCCCAAAUUUAAGAAAAUUUUUUUGUUUUAAGCAUAUGUCAACCGUAUUGCCAGAAAUGUUUAAGUCCCUACUUUGAUUACUGAGUUAUGUAAAUAUUUUAGUAAGCCAUAUUUAAAUAAAUUCCUUUACUAAAGAUCAUUGUAGAAUGUAUUAUUUAGUUCACAUGAAAAGUAUGAGCAAAAAUGUCAUAGUAAAACAAAAAAUGAGAUUAGAAGUUAAUACAGAGGCAAAGCUGAUAUAUGUGACUAUUAUUUAUCUAGGAAAAAAAUUCUUUAAAAUACUUUAAUUAACAGAAUCUUUCUGGAACUCAUCAAUAACCCAUGAAAAACAGAUUCACGGGCAACAAAAAAUAAAUUGUAAGCAAGUUUAAUUUGAAUAUAUUAAUAGAAAUUAAGCCAAAUAUAAAAGUAUAACUUCAUAGUAUUUUUCUAUACAUUCUCCAUGAUGUGUCAAUACUUCUUCCACAAUACAAUUUGAGCAGUAGGAAAAAAUCAUAAGAGCAAAUACCAUUAUUCUGAAUAUGAUGCUUGCAAUUCCUAUUUUUUCCAUUAUCUUACUGCAAAAAAUUUCUAACAUACAUAAACAUUAAAACAAUUUUAUCAUGGAUAACACUUGCUAUAGUUCAAAUAUUUGACUCUGUAAACCUCGCCUUGAAAUUUGAUUCCGGAUGUUGGCAGUGGGACCUAAUGGAUGGUGUUUGGGUCGUGGAGCAGAUUCCCCAUGAAUGGUGGGUGCCAUCCUCAUUGUGGUGACUGAGUGCUCACUCUAGUCAUUCUCACCAGAGCUGGUUGUUAAAAAGAGCCUGGCACCUCCUCCCUGGCACCCCAUCCUCCCUGCUUUCUGUCUCACCAUGUAAUCUCUGUACACAUCAGCUUCUCUUCACCCUCCACCAUCAGUGGAAGCAGCCUGAAGCCCUCAGCAGAAGCAAAUGCUGAUUCCACGCUACUUGUGCAGCCUGUAGAACUGUGACCAAAAUAAUAAACUUUCUUUCUUUCUUUUUCUUUCUUUUCCUUCUUUCCUUCCUUCCUUCCUUCCUUCCUUCCUUCCUUCCUUCCUUCCUUCUCUCCCUCCCUCCCUCCUUUCCUUCCUUCCUUCCUUCCUUCCUUCCUUCCUUCCUUCCUUCCUUCUCUCCCUCCCUCCCUCCUUUCCUUCCUUCCUUCCUUCCUUCCUUCCUUCCUUCCUUCCUUGCUUCCUUCCUUUCUUCUUUCUUUCUUUCCUUCCUUCCUUCCUUCCUUUUUUUUUGACAGGGUCUCACUCUGUUGUCCAGACUGGCGUGUAUCCAUUUUCUUUCUAAAUUGCCCAACCUCAGGUAUUCCUUUAUAGCAACGUGAACAUAUUAAGGCAUCCAAAUACUAACCAUUUAGAUUUUACAAUUAGUAUUGCCAAAUACUAACCAUAAC
ensembl:lncRNA